CAGCCGCCGCGGUAAUACGUAGGUCCCGAGCGUUGUCCGGAUUUAUUGGGCGUAAAGCGAGCGCAGGCGGUUAGAUAAGUCUGAAGUUAAAGGCUGUGGCUUAACCAUAGUACGCUUUGGAAACUGUUUAACUUGAGUGCAAGAGGGGAGAGUGGAAUUCCAUGUGUAGCGGUGAAAUACGUAGAUAUAUGGAGGAACACCGGUGGCGAAAGCGGCUCUCUGGCUUGUAACUGACGCUGAGGCUCGAAAGCGUGGGGAGCAAACAGGAUUAGAUACCCGCGUAGUCCCUGUCUCUUAUACC
rnacentral:rRNA from 1 species